rnacentral:lncRNA from 1 species
UUUCUCAUAAGCCAUCGCACCAAGCUUUUCUAUCUACUCUUCUUCGCCGAGAACGAAGGCAUCAUCUCGCUAGACUCAGUUGACGAAGCGACGACUUGGAGAGCCAUUCGUGAACUUGGCGCCCCACAGCCUCAUAUCUCUCCCUCUCAAGCUUGCGGCGCUAUUGUUGUGACAGUGGUAGCUUGUUAAAAAUGGGAGUAUGGGAUGGCGAUGAUUUGUAAGGGAAAAAGAUAAAAGAAUAGAAUAGAAGGUCAGAGAAAUUGAGAGUGAAAGGGUGAUUUCGGUAGCCAAUCUCGUCAAAAACUGAAGGAGAUGCGUUUUUUUUUUUUUUGAUAUUUGGGUUUCUAACAAUGGUUUUUUGCACAGAGGGACUGCAGAGAGGGAUACUAAGGUGAUGGUGUCGCGGCGGUGGCUGGCAGCAACGUUCGCCGGAUGACAAGAGCAGUGUUGCAAAUUGGGAAGGGUUUUCUCUUAAUUCAAUUUAAAAAUUAGUUAAACAUGUGAGCCUUCUUCCUUUUCUUCCUAGUUUAACUUUUCUAAAUACUUAUUCCUAAAAUAAACGGGUCAUUAAUAUUGGGACGGAGGGAGUAAAUAUUUCAACACCAUCUUAUUUUUUCAUGAUUUUGUAAGCAACAAUCACUUUAUAAAAAUA